CCUACGGGAGGCAGCAGUGGGGAAUAUUGGUCAAUGGGCGCGUGCCUGAACCAGCAAAGUAGCGUGAAGGAUGACUGCCCUACGGGUUGUAAACUUCUUUUAUAAAGGAAUAAAGUGAAGCACGUGUGCCUUUUUGUAUGUACUUUAUGAAUAAGGAUCGGGCAAUGCCGCGCCAGCAGCCGCGGUAAUACGGAGGGUCUGAGCGUUAGCCGGAUUUAUUGGGUUUAAAGGGAGCGUAGAUGGGUUGUUAAGUCAGUUGUGAAAGUUUGCGGCUCAACCGUAAAAGUGCAAUUGCUACUGGCAGCCUGGAGUGCAGUUGAGGUAAGCGGAAUUCGUGGUGUAGCGGUGAAAUGCUUAGAUAUCACGAAGAACUCCGAUUGCGAAGGCAGCUUACUAAACUGCCACUGACAUUGAUGCUCGAAAGUGUGGGUAUCAAACAGGAUUAGAUACCCUUGUAGUC
rnacentral:rRNA from 1 species